rnacentral:rRNA from 1 species
CCCAGACUCCUACGGGAGGCAGCAGUGGGGAAUAUUGCACAAUGGGCGAAAGCCUGAUGCAGCGACGCCGCGUGAGUGAAGAAGUAUUUCGGUAUGUAAAGCUCUCUCAGCAGGGAAGAAAAUGACGGUACCUGACUAAGAAGCCCCGGCUAACUACGUGCCAGCAGCCGCGGUAAUACGUAGGGGGCAAGCGUUAUCCGGAUUUACUGGGUGUAAAGGGAGCGUAGGCGGCCACGCAAGUCAGAAGUGAAAACCCGGGGCUCAACCCUGGGAGUGCUUUUGAAACUGUGCGGCUAGAGUGUCGGAGGGGUAAGUGGAAUUCCUAGUGUAGCGGUGAAAUGCGUAGAUAUUAGGAGGAACACCAGUGGCGAAGGCGGCGUACUGGACGAUGACUGACGCUGAGGCUCGAAAGCGUGGGGAGCAAACAGGAUUAGAUACCCCGGUAACG